rnacentral:rRNA from 1 species
GACGAACGCUGGCGGCGUGCUUAACACAUGCCAGUCGAACGGAAAGGCCCUGCUUUUGUGGGGUGCUCGAGUGGCGAACGGGUGAGUAACACGUGAGUAACCUGCCCUUGACUUUGGGAUAACUUCAGGAAACUGGGGCUAAUACCGGAUAGGAGCUCCUGCUGCAUGGUGGGGGUUGGAAAGUUUCGGCGGUUGGGGAUGGCCUCGCGGCUGAGCAGCUUGUUGGUGGGGUAGUGGCUUACCAAGGCUUUGACGGGUAGCCGGCCUGAGAGGGUGACCGGCCACAUUGGGACUGAGAUGCGGCCCAGACUCCUGCGGGAGGCAGCAGUGGGGAAUAUUGCACAAUGGGCGGAAGCCUGAUGCAGCAACGCCGCGUGCGGGAUGACGGCCUUCGGGUUGGAAACCGCUUUCGCCUGUGACGAAGCGUGAGUGACGGUAAUGGGUAAAGAAGCACCGGCUAACUACGUG